UGAGGAAUCUUCCACAAUGGGCGAAAGCCUGAUGGAGCAACGCCGCGUGCAGGAUGAAGGCCUUCGGGUUGUAAACUGCUUUUAUAAGUGAGGAAUAUGACGGUAACUUAUGAAUAAGGAUCGGCUAACUACGUGCCAGCAGCCGCGGUCAUACGUAGGAUCCGAGCGUUAUCCGGAGUGACUGGGCGUAAAGAGUUGCGUAGGCGGUUUGUUAAGCGAAUAGUGAAACCUGGUGGCUCAACCAUACAGACUAUUAUUCGAACUGGCAAACUCGAGAGUGGUAGAGGUCACUGGAAUUUCUUGUGUAGGAGUGAAAUCCGUAGAUAUAAGAAGGAACACCGAUGGCGUAGGCAGGUGACUAGACCAUUUCUGACGCUAAGGCACGAAAGCGUGGGGAGCGAACCGG
rnacentral:rRNA from 1 species